GAUGAACGCUGGCGGCGUGCCUAAUACAUGCAAGUCGAGCGAACGGACGAGAAGCUUGCUUCUCUGAUGUUAGCGGCGGACGGGUGAGUAACACGUGGAUAACCUACCUAUAAGACUGGGAUAACUUCGGGAAACCGGAGCUAAUACCGGAUAAUAUUUUGAACCGCAUGGUUCAAAAGUGAAAGACGGUCUUGCUGUCACUUAUAGAUGGAUCCGCGCUGCAUUAGCUAGUUGGUAAGGUAACGGCUUACCAAGGCAACGAUGCAUAGCCGACCUGAGAGGGGGAUCGGCCCCACGGGAACGGAGACACGGUCCAGCACCCUCAGGGAGGCAGCAGUGGGGAAUCUUCCGCAAUGGGCGAAAGCCUGACGGAGAAACGCCGCGUGAGGAAUGAAGGUCUUCGGAUCGUAAAACUCUGUUAUUAGGGAAAAAAAUUUUUGUAAGUAACUGUGAAAAUUUUGACUGUACCUAAUCAAAAAGCCCCGGCUAACUGCGU
rnacentral:rRNA from 1 species